GGCGCUCCCGUCACCGCAAGCCGUGCGCCCCGGGUCCGGCCUGAGCUGCUGCGUCACCCGGGCAGCCUGGGAACCCUCUUGGGCAACCUUGUCACCUCCCGCUGUGUGGCUCGCCCGGGCGCCCUGCGUCUAAAUCUCUUCCCGGGCGGGGCGCUAGUGAAAGAGAAAAAUAAGAGUUGCUGGCUGUUGACAUCCCGUGACGCUACUUGAUUCGUGUGUGGGCGGCCCAUGCCUGGUUCAUAAAAAGAACUUUUACAACACUGCCUGGCCAGGGCCCUCCCUGGAGGGCGAGUGGAAGGGUGUCGCGCCGAACUGGAACAAGAAAGGCCACCGGAGGGGCGUUGGUAACUGUCUGGGUCGAAGGUGCUGCACCUUAGUUGACAGUUUCUGUCAUUUACUGUAUCCGCGGGCCUCAGAGUGUUGGAAACAGGAUCUCUUCAAGCAUGGAGCUACUGUCUCCAGAAUUGGGCAGAACGGUUGCCUGGCACUGUAUUCUACCUCGUCCACUGAACACGGAUGACCUCAAUCUUGUCUUGCCUGUCUGGAGUAAAUAACGAGCAAUCCAUGAUUUCAUUUGAAAACGCUGACAAUCUGAAUUAUAUCAAGCAAAAGUCUGCCUUUCUACCCUCAGGUUUGAGCUUUAUUGCACAAAAGCCAGCAGAGGAUUAUUGCACAAAAGAAGCUAUACCAAAAGGACACUGAUUAUCUGAGACUGGAAGCUGACUUUCUUGACCUCUGUAGGAAGAUAAUUGUCUUGCAAACCUAGAGAGUGAAAAGGCUUCUCCAAGCUCUUUUUUUGCUUGCAUUUAACAUAUCAAAAGCUAUGCCUGCUAGCCGCUGAGCUUUCAAACUACAACGUCAGUCACAAAAAACCCUGUUCAGACAAAUUCAUAAUAGUCACUAUAGG